rnacentral:rRNA from 1 species
AACGAACGCUGGCGGCAGGCCUAACACAUGCAAGUCGAACGCCGUAGCAAUACGGAGUGGCAGACGGGUGAGUAACACGUGGGAACAUACCCUUCGGUUCGGAAUAACUCAGGGAAACUUGAGCUAAUACCGGAUACGUCCGCGAGGAGAAAGAUUCAUCGCCGGAGGAUUGGCCCGCGUCUGAUUAGCUUGUUGGUGAGGUAAUGGCUCACCAAGGCGACGAUCAGUAGCNGGUCUGAGAGGAUGAUCAGCCACAUUGGGACUGAGACACGGCCCAAACUCCUACGGGAGGCAGCAGUGGGGAAUAUUGGACAAUGGGCGCAAGCCUGAUCCAGCCAUGCCGCGUGAGUGAUGAAGGCCCUAGGGUUGUAAAGCUCUUUUGUGCGGGAAGAUAAUGACGGUACCGCAAGAAUAAGCCCCGGCUAACUUCGUGCCAGCAGCCGCAGU